rnacentral:rRNA from 1 species
UCGGUAAAACUCGUGCCAGCCACCGCGGUUAUACGAAAGACCCUAGUUGAUAGCCACGGCGUAAAGGGUGGUUAAGGAACCUAAAAAAUAAAGCUAAAGACCCUCUAGGCCGUCAUACGCAUUACGAGGCAAACGAAACCCCAACACGAAAGUAGCUUAGACAAAUAUCCUGAUGCCACGAAAGCCAAGAAACAAACUGGGAUUAAAUACCCCACUAUG